rnacentral:rRNA from 1 species
AUUGAACGCUGGCGGCAUGCUUUACGCAUGCAAGUCGAACGGCAGCGCGGGCUUCGGCCUGGCGGCGAGUGGCGAACGGGUGAGUAAUGCAUCGGAACGUGCCCAGUAGUGGGGGAUAGCCCGGCGAAAGCCGGAUUAAUACCGCAUACGACCUGAGGGUGAAAGCGGGGGACCGAAAGGCCUCGCGCUAUUGGAGCGGCCGAUGUCGGAUUAGCUAGUUGGUGGGGUAAAGGCUUACCAAGGCGACGAUCCGUAGCUGGUCUGAGAGGACGACCAGCCACACUGGGACUGAGACACGGCCCAGACUCCUACGGGAGGCAGCAGUGGGGAAUUUUGGACAAUGGGGGCAACCCUGAUCCAGCCAUGCCGCGUGCGGGAAGAAGGCCUUGGGGUUGUAAACCGCUUUGGUUGGGGAGGAAGUCCUCUGGGCUAAUACCCCGGGGGGAUGACGGUACCGGAAGAAUAAGCACCGGCUAACUACGUG